rnacentral:rRNA from 1 species
GACGAACGCUGGCGGCGUGCUUAACACAUGCAAGUCGAACGGAAAGGCCCUGCUUGCAGGGUACUCGAGUGGCGAACGGGUGAGUAACACGUGGGGGAUCUUCCCUGCACUUCGGGAUAAGCCUGGGAAACUGGGUCUAAUACCGGAUAGGAGCCAAUGGUAGUGUGCUGGGUGGAAAGUUUUUUCGGUGUAGGAUGAGAUCGCGGCCUAUCAGCUUGUUGGUGGGGUAAUGGCCUACCAAAGGGGCGACGGGUAGCCGGGCUGAGAGGGUGGACGGCGACACUGGGACUGAGAGACGGCACAGACUCCGACGGGAGGCAGAAGUGGGGAAUAUUGCACAAGGGGUGCAGGCCUGAUGCAGCGACGCCGCGUGGGGGAUGACGGCCUUCGCGUUGUAAACACCUUUCGCUAGGGACGAAGCUUUUUGUGACGGUACCUAGAUAAGAAGCACCGGCUAACUACGUG